AGCGGGAAGUAGUUUACUACUUCGCCGGCGAGCGGCGGACGGGUGAGUAAUGUCUGGGAAACUGCCUGAUGGAGGGGGAUAACUACUGGAAACGGUAGCUAAUACCGCAUAACGUCUUCGGACCAAAGUGGGGGACCUUCGGGCCUCACGCCAUCGGAUGUGCCCAGAUGGGAUUAGCUAGUAGGUGGGGUAAUGGCUCACCUAGGCGACGAUCCCUAGCUGGUCUGAGAGGAUGACCAGCCACACUGGAACUGAGACACGGUCCAGACUCCUACGGGAGGCAGCAGUGGGGAAUAUUGCACAAUGGGCGCAAGCCUGAUGCAGCCAUGCCGCGUGUGUGAAGAAGGCCUUCGGGUUGUAAAGCACUUUCAGCGAGGAGGAAGGCCAAUAACUUAAUAGGUUGUUGGAUUGACGUUACUCGCAGAAGAAGCACCGGCUAACUCCGUGCCAGCAGCCGCGGUAAUACGGAGGGUGCAAGCGUUAAUCGGAAUUACUGGGCGUAAAGCGCACGCAGGCGGUUUGUUAAGUCAGAUGUGAAAUCCCCGCGCUUAACGUGGGAACUGCAUUUGAAACUGGCAAGCUAGAGUCUUGUAGAGGGGGGUAGAAUUCCAGGUGUAGCGGUGAAAUGCGUAGAGAUCUGGAGGAAUACCGGUGGCGAAGGCGGCCCCCUGGACAAAGACUGACGCUCAGGUGCGAAAGCGUGGGGAGCAAACA
rnacentral:rRNA from 1 species